CUCGUUUGCUUUGCUAGAAUCCACAUUUUCCACAAAGUCAGCACAGUCUAAAUUGUUGGAGAAGCGAUUUACUGAUAUAGGUUUUGUCUUUUCUGCGAAACACAUUAUCUCCUUUACUAUACAAUUUUUUUCAAGCCUCCCAGAAGCUGUAGUGAUAAUACCUGCAGGAUGCAUUCCAAGUCAUAUUGUUUUUACGAUGUCUUCAAUGGUUGAUUAGGUGCUAUUGAAUUUGAGCGUAGUUUAUUCCGUCUUUUCCAUGUCUCUAGCCAGCUAAUUAAACUACAGACAAUGAUGUAAAAUCUGUGGUGAAU